UACGUAAGGUGCAAGCGUUGUCCGGAAUCACUGGGCGUAGAGGGCGCGUAGGCGGUUUGAUAAGUAGAAGGUGAAAGAUUCGAGCUCAACUCGAAAACUGCCUUCUAAACUGUCUUACUUGAGGGUCUGAGGGGAAACUGGAAUUCACGGUGUAGCGGUGAAAUGCGUAGAUAUCUUGAGGAACACCGGUGGCGAAGGCGGGUCUCUGGGCCGAUACUGACGCUGAGGAGCGAAAGCGUGGGGAGCGAACAGG
rnacentral:rRNA from 1 species